AGACAAUGAGUAUAGGAUUGGAUAGGUAAGCAUGCUACCGAUCAGAGCCACCGAGUGAUCAUUACCGAGAAUGAAAGCCAGUGUUAUACCGGUCAGAACUAUCGAGUGAUCAGUACCAAGAAUGUAAGCCGGUGUUAUACCUACCAUAACCACCGAGUGAUCAGCGUCUCGAAUCCCAUUAUCCGUCUAUAUACCGUCUGUCAUAGGUU
rnacentral:misc_RNA from 1 species